rnacentral:lncRNA from 1 species
AUCAGCAUGGAGUUUUACAUUAAGAUCCAAAGGGAAAACAACAAGAGAAACAUUCAUACAGUCAAACUGAUGCAAUAGGUCAGAAACAUACUUAUGCUGAUUAAGGAGCAUCCCACCAGGAACUACAGACAUCUCAAAUGCCCAGAAAAUAAUGCAAAGACCCAAGGUCUUUGAUCCUGAACUGAUCAUCCAGAAAAUGCUUCAGGGCAGAAAGCUCAUCAUUGUCAUCCC